UGAGUUUCUAACGUCUGGACUUAUUCUGAGUGCCUAACUGCAACUUCCAGCCAGCCAAAGGUGUCUCUGAGGUGAAACACCACAGCUGCUGCCUUUGGUCCAGAGCACUAGGGCUGGACGAGCCCAGGCAUGUUCCACCCAGCAAUAUUGGGAUUUUAUUCUAUAUGCUCUAACCUAGCAAGACGUACUGAAAAAUACCUGGGUGUUAUACAGUGAGAAGGUCUAGUGAUUUCAUUUUAACAACACUGAAGGAAUGAGAGGCUUGCAACACUCAGAUAUCUCCAUUCAACCAAUGCUGCUGAAGUAAUGUGAAUUGGACAGUUUGGUUUUGGUCCAAGAUCAGAGACAACAAUCUACAAGAGAAAAAUUGGCCAGGACCAGCAGGAAGGCAAGGGGCCACUUUCUUUUAGCCCCAGACCUUGGAAGAGCUGAGCCGGGAUGAGAAAAGGAAACCAAAUCCUCUUGCGUCACCUGCUGUGAAGAGGGGACCAACACCAACGAUUUACCGGGUUCCCAUCUAUUCUGCCCGAGCUGUAGUGUGUCUUUUGUUUUGGACUUUUUUUCCUUGAGACAGGAGCCAGUGCCUUUUUUUUCCCCACCACAUUGCUGGCCAUUGUGGGUUUUUUUUCUUUCCCUGGCAUUUUGGGGUUUUUGUUUUGGUGGGGGAGGGGGGGUGUUGGUGUUUGUUGCUAAUAGGUAAAACCUUAUAAAAUUAGGGCCUUGCUACUCUUGUAAAAUCAUGGCUCAGGCCUACUACUUUAGCUAAGUAGAAGACUAUGGGAAAGUGACUCAGCUGAAUUGGAGGUAGAAAAACAAGUUAUAUAGUCAUUACGUGUUCACAUCGUGGUGUAUGGUGGUUGGAUGGAUUAUGUUUGUUAUGAUUUAAAACUAUGUAACUGAUAAAGGCCUAACUGCUUAAAAAGGCCUGGUUUUUGCAAUAAAGUGGCUCUCCUUUGUACCUGA